rnacentral:snoRNA from 15 species
UAUCCAUGUUUACUACUACUUUUCAUCUCUUUUUCACUGAAAUGUCGAGUAUUUUUGCGAUGCAUGGUAAAGAAAUCAAGGUGACCAGGUUUCUUUUCAAUUUUCCCCCAUAAUUGAAGAGUUACAAUGCCAUCUGACAAGG